rnacentral:rRNA from 1 species
GAUUAGUGGCGAACGGGUGAGUAACACGUGAGUAACCUGCCCUGGACUCUGGGAUAACCCCGAGAAAUCGGAGCUAAUACCGGAUAGGACCUGGAACCGCAUGGUUUUGGGUGGAAAGUUUUUCGGUCUGGGAUGGACUCGCGGCCUAUCAGCUUGUUGGUGAGGUAAUGGCUCACCAAGGCGUCGACGGGUAGCCGGCCUGAGAGGGUGACCGGCCACACUGGGACUGAGACACGGCCCAGACUCCUACGGGAGGCAGCAGUGGGGAAUAUUGCACAAUGGGCGCAAGCCUGAUGCAGCAACGCCGCGUGAGGGAUGACGGCCUUCGGGUUGUAAACCUCUUUUAGUAAGGAAGAAGGGGAGCUUGCUCCUUGACGGUACUUGCAGAAAAAGCACCGGCUAACUACGUGCCAGCAGCCGCGGUAAUACGUAGGGUGCGAGCGUUGUCCGGAAUUAUUGGGCGUAAAGAGCUCGUAGGCGGUUUGUCACGUCUGCUGUGAAAUCCCGAGGCUCAACCUCGGGCCUGCAGUGGGUACGGGCAGACUGGAGUGCGGUAGGGGAGAUUGGAAUUCCUGGUGUAGCGGUGGAAUGCGCAGAUAUCAGGAGGAACACCGAUGGCGAAGGCAGAUCUCUGGGCCGUAACUGACGCUGAGGAGCGAAAGCGUGGGGAGCGAACAGGAUUAGAUACCCUGGUAGUCCACGCCGUAAACGUUGGGCGCUAGAUGUGGGGACCUUUCCACGGUUUCCGUGUCGUAGCUAACGCAUUAAGCGCCCCGCCUGGGGAGUACGGCCGCAAGGCUAAAACUCAAAGGAAUUGACGGGGGCCCGCACAAGCGGCGGAGCAUGCGGAUUAAUUCGAUGCAACGCGAAGAACCUUACCAAGGCUUGACAUAACCGAGAACGCCGCAGAAAUGUGGAACUCUUUGGACACUCGGUUACAGGUGGUGCAUGGUUGUCGUCAGCUCGUGUCGUGAGAUGUUGGGUUAAGUCCCGCAACGAGCGCAACCCUCGUCGUAUGUUGCCAGCACGUAAUGGUGGGAACUCAUAUGAGACUGCCGGGGUCAACUCGGAGGAAGGUGGGGAUGACGUCAAAUCAUCAUGCCCCUUAUGUCUUGGGCUUCACGCAUGCUACAAUGGCCGGUACAAAGGGUUGCGAUGUCGUAAGGCGGAGCGAAUCCCAAAAAGCCGGUCUCAGUUCGGAUUGAGGUCUGCAACUCGACCUCAUGAAGUCGGAGUCGCUAGUAAUCGCAGAUCAGCAACGCUGCGGUGAAUACGUUCCCGGGCCUUGUACACACCGCCCGUCAAGUC